rnacentral:lncRNA from 1 species
UGAAAACUGCUUGAUCGUCCUAUAACUACCCACUUUCUUUGUAGUGGCCAUUUUGUCAUGAAACCGCCUUUUAACUGCUGCCAUUAUCUUUCAUCGUUCAACUGCCUUCGAUUGAAUUCCUUGAGUUGUGGAACGUGAUAAGGCUACUUUAACAACUGCCUUGAUAACUGCAUUCCUUGAUAACUACGAUGCGUUAUGUUUGUUGACACCUUGGGCGACUUGAAGGUUUGGGCGAGAGUAGAAUAACAGCUCUGGGCGACCGUAUGACACCCAUUCGUUCAGAUUCUGAGCGACUUGCAAACUUGGGCGAUGG